GCUGGGCACGGUGGCGCACACCUGUAAUCCUAACAGCUUGGGAGGCUGAGGCAGGAGGAUUGAGUUCAAAGCCAGCCUCAGCAAUUUAGCGAGGCCCUAAGCAACUCAGUGAGACCCUGUCUCUA
rnacentral:sRNA from 1 species